rnacentral:lncRNA from 1 species
ACUGGUCCUGGUGUGCUUGCUGCCGCUGCUGCUGCUGCGGCCCCUGGGCGCCCUGGGCGAGGAACUGCGGCUGCCGCAGCCCCCCCCCCGCCCCCCCCCCGGGCCCAGGGCGGCCGAUUGGCUCUCCAACUUCGCCCACUUCAACAAGUACCUGGAGAAGCUCUUCAACAGCAGCGUGAAGUCUAAGGACCCCCAAGAAAUCGAGAAACGUUCAAAACCCCAAGAAUGCCGCGAACACCACAAAAAGUCCACCAGCAAACACCGUGAAACCUCUACCAGAGAAUGCUAGGAAACCUCCCCAACAGAACACCGGGAAACCCUAACCACUGACCUCCUCCCAGGGCCCCAGGUCUGCCUCAGCCCCUCUGGCGAUGAGCAGAGCAGAGGAAGAGGCAGGAGCCCAGCCCGGGGCCUGUCCCUGAGAAGCUGGGUGCCAGGGUGCCACUCUCCUCUGGGGGCUGGUGGCCAUCGGAAGACCUGGGCAGGGGCAGGGGCUGUCCGCAGCAGAUGCACCUCUCCUGAGCCAAUUCUCACACACAAGUGUGUCCUGAGCAGGAUCCUAAUUCCUGCCCCGGGGAAGUGUCUACCUCUCUCCCUGUUCAGAGCCUAUCCCCUUAGCUGCCAGAGAAAAUUCUGGGGCUUUGGCCUCCGUCAUCUAAACUGAGACUUUGUUCUGCUGAAACCGGCCCCCUCCCAUCCACCCACUUGGG